rnacentral:rRNA from 1 species
AGAGUUUGAUCCUGGCUCAGGACGAACGCUGGCGGCGUGCCUAAUACAUGCAAGUCGUACGCUUCUUUUUCCACCGGAGCUUGCUCCACCGGAAAAAGAAGAGUGGCGAACGGGUGAGUAACACGUGGGUAACCUGCCCAUCAGAAGGGGAUAACACUUGGAAACAGGUGCUAAUACCGUAUAACAAUCGAAACCGCAUGGUUUUGAUUUGAAAGGCGCUUUCGGGUGUCGCUGAUGGAUGGACCCGCGGUGCAUUAGCUAGUUGGUGAGGUAACGGCUCACCAAGGCCACGAUGCAUAGCCGACCUGAGAGGGUGAUCGGCCACAUUGGGACUGAGACACGGCCCAAACUCCUACGGGAGGCAGCAGUAGGGAAUCUUCGGCAAUGGACGAAAGUCUGACCGAGCAACGCCGCGUGAGUGAAGAAGGUUUUCGGAUCGUAAAACUCUGUUGUUAGAGAAGAACAAGGAUGAGAGUAACUGUUCAUCCCUUGACGGUAUCUAACCAGAAAGCCACGGCUAACUACGUGCCAGCAGCCGCGGUAAUACGUAGGUGGCAAGCGUUGUCCGGAUUUAUUGGGCGUAAAGCGAGCGCAGGCGGUUUCUUAAGUCUGAUGUGAAAGCCCCCGGCUCAACCGGGGAGGGUCAUUGGAAACUGGGAGACUUGAGUGCAGAAGAGGAGAGUGGAAUUCCAUGUGUAGCGGUGAAAUGCGUAGAUAUAUGGAGGAACACCAGUGGCGAAGGCGGCUCUCUGGUCUGUAACUGACGCUGAGGCUCGAAAGCGUGGGGAGCAAACAGGAUUAGAUACCCUGGUAGUCCACGCCGUAAACGAUGAGUGCUAAGUGUUGGAGGGUUUCCGCCCUUCAGUGCUGCAGCUAACGCAUUAAGCACUCCGCCUGGGGAGUACGACCGCAAGGUUGAAACUCAAAGGAAUUGACGGGGGCCCGCACAAGCGGUGGAGCAUGUGGUUUAAUUCGAAGCAACGCGAAGAACCUUACCAGGUCUUGACAUCCUUUGACCACUCUAGAGAUAGAGCUUCCCCUUCGGGGGCAAAGUGACAGGUGGUGCAUGGUUGUCGUCAGCUCGUGUCGUGAGAUGUUGGGUUAAGUCCCGCAACGAGCGC